GAUGAAGAACGUAGCGAAAUGCGAUACUUGGUGUGAAUUGCAGAAUCCCGUGAACCAUCGAGUCUUUGAACGCAAGUUGCGCCCGAAGCCAUUAGGCCGAGGGCACGCCUGCCUGGGCGUCACACGUCGUUGCCCCCCCCAUCUACUCCUUCGGGAUUGCGGGGGGCGGAUGAUGGCCUCCCGUGCGCCUCGCCGCGCGGUUGGCAUAAAUGCCAAGUCCUCGGCGACGCACGCCACGACAAUCGGUGGUUGCGAAACCUCGGUUGCCCGUCGUGUGCGGUCGUCGCGCAUCGAGGGCUCGAAAAAAUUGCCGAGUUCCGGCUCGGCUUUCAACGCGACCCCAGGUCAGGCGGGGUUACCCGCUGAAUUUAAGCAUAUCAAUAAGCGGGGA
rnacentral:misc_RNA from 1 species